GACCCCGUAGCUCAGUGGUAGAGCGUGAGAUUCCAGUAGGGGAUUCCUCAAGGUCAUCCGUUCAAUCCGGGUCGGGGUCA
rfam:Gymnopus luxurians FD-317 M1 unplaced genomic scaffold GYMLTscaffold_10, whole genome shotgun sequence.